UACGUAGGGACCAAGCGUUGUUCGGAUUUACUGGGCGUAAAGGGCGCGUAGGCGGCGAAUCAAGUCAGCUGUGAAAUCUCCGAGCUUAACUCGGAACGGUCAGCUGAUACUGUUUUGCUAGAGUGCAGAAAGGGCAACCGGAAUUCUUGGUGUAGCGGUGAAAUGCGCAGAUAUCAAGAGGAACACCUGAGGCGAAGGCGGGUUGCUAGGCUGACACUGACGCUGAAGCGCGAAAGCUAGGGUAGCAAACGGG
rnacentral:rRNA from 1 species